rnacentral:rRNA from 1 species
UAGUCAUAUGCUUGUCUCAAAGAUUAAGCCAUGCAUGUCUAAGUAUAAACAUUUUAUACUGUGAAACUGCGAAUGGCUCAUUAAAUCAGUUAUAGUUUAUUUGAUAGUACCUUACUACUUGGAUAACCGUGGUAAUUCUAGAGCUAAUACAUGCUAAAAAACCCGACUUCUUGGAAGGGUUGUAUUUAUUAGAUAAAAAACCAAUCUGCGCAAGCAGUUUUAGGUGAUUCAUAAUAACUUUUCGAAUCGUAUGACUUUACGUCGACGAUGGUUCAUU